rnacentral:tRNA from 1 species
GGGGAUUUAGCUCAGCGGUAGAGCGCUUGCCUAGCAAGCACAAGGACCUGGGUUUGAUCCCCAGCUCCG